GGGGAAUAUUGCGCAAUGGGGGGAACCCUGACGCAGCAACGCCGCGUGGAGGAAGAAGGCCUUCGGGUCGUAAACUCCUGUCAUCAGGGACGAUAAUGACGGUACCUGAGGAGGAAGCCACGGCUAACUACGUGCCAGCAGCCGCGGUAAUACGUAGGUGGCGAGCGUUGUCCGGAAUUACUGGGCGUAAAGGGUGCGUAGGCGGAAUCUUAAGUCAGAUGUGAAAACCCAGGGCUUAACUUUGGGAUUGCAUUUGAAACUGAGGUUCUAGAGUGCAGGAGAGGGAAGCGGAAUUCCUAGUGUAGCGGUGAAAUGCGUAGAUAUUAGGAAGAACACCAGUGGCGAAGGCGGCUUUCUGGACUGUAACUGACGCUGAGGCACGAAAGCGCGGGGAGCAAAC
rnacentral:rRNA from 1 species